AGCGAACGCUGGCGGCAGGCCUAACACAUGCAAGUCGAACGAAGCCUUCGGGCUUAGUGGCGGACGGGUGAGUAACACGUGGGAACGUACCUUUUGGUUCGGAACAACUCAGGGAAACUUGAGCUAAUACCGGAUGAGCCCUUAGGGGGAAAGAUUUAUCGCCGAAAGAGCGGCCCGCGUUAGAUUAGCUAGUUGGUGAGGUAAAGGCUCACCAAGGCAACGAUCUAUAGCUGGUCUGAGAGGAUGAUCAGCCACACUGGGACUGAGACACGGCCCAGACUCCUACGGGAGGCAGCAGUGGGGAAUCUUGCGCAAUGGGCGAAAGCCUGACGCAGCCAUGCCGCGUGAAUGAUGAAGGUCUUAGGAUUGUAAAAUUCUUUUACCAGGGACGAUAAUGACGGUACCUGGAGAAAAAGCCCCGGCUAACUUCGUGCCAGCCGCCGCAGUAACAC
rnacentral:rRNA from 1 species